rnacentral:lncRNA from 1 species
ACUGGCUUUGAAACAAUCGCUUGUAUUCUCUGCGCGGCAGGAAGCAGCAGACCCAUCAAGGCCCUGGGCUCACUCUUUGUUCUGACUUUAUGGCAUUUUAUGCCACAAUAAGAAACACUGUGUACUCCGUGGGAGCCCAUUGUGCCAGGCUGCAAGGAUGUGGGCUCCGGUGCAGAGGGCCUGGUGCUCUUCCCCAGGAAGAAGAGGGGCUUUGUGACAGGCUGGGGGACAAAACAAGGGGUGCUGGACACUGUUACUGAGGCAACUGCCUGGCCAGUGUGGAGGCAGCUUUAGUCCCUGGGACCGUUUCUGUGCCCAAGGAGAGGGAGGGCAGGGGAAGGAUGGAAUUUCAUCUAGAGUAGCAGGUCCUGGUUGCCUGGUAAAUUAUGCAUCAGGACUGGGCUAGCCACUGCCUCCGUUUUCUCUGGGCUCCUGAGAUAACCUCCACCUGCCUCUAGAUUCUGUGCCAGCUGAUCGUUAUCUAUCUCAUCAACUCUUGUUCCAUCAGGAAACUGCAUCUUGGAGCAGCAGGCCUGGCUCCUGCCCAGGAGGCACCUGGCCUAGAUCUCAGCGUCACUGCGGAGUUAACCAAGGGAAGCGGCACCAGCAUCACACCCUGUUCCAGCCAACAGUCUCCAGCGUCCCUGACAGAUGUCGGGAAGUUCUUUUCCCCGUAAGAUCCCGGAGAAUGUCCUGAGGCUGCCGUGUGGAAGCUCUGGGGCCUUUCUCGUCUCCCACUGCCAGCUUAAUGAGCUGUGCUGGUAGCAACAGAUGGCGCCCCGCAGGGUCUCACUUGGAUAGCUUGGAAAGUUCCUGGACACCAGUUGGACUUGCCGCGAAAACCAUUAAUCUGGCCUUUCAGAGAAAAUCUUCAGAAGAAUGUAUUUGCAAGAAUCUCAGGUCUGACAUGGAAGAAGUUUUGAUGACUUACUGCCAACUUUGUAUCACCCCCAAAAUGCUUUAGAGAAAUAUCUCUCUACAGAGGAAAGCAAGGAACUGUGACUUUAACUAGUGAAUUGGAUCAACGUGUCCAGCUAAUUCAGGUACCAAAUCCUAUUUUUCUGUAACAGCAGAAAACUGUCACGACUGCCACUGAGCUCAACUUUUCCUGAACAGACUCAGCUAAAAUCCUUGCCAUGUCUCAGUUCUCAUUUCACUAUGCUAAUUAGGGAGCCCAGAGGGUGAGUCUACACAUGUAAAAUGGAUGGAUCUUAACACAUCGAUGCUUUGUUUUUAGCCAGAUUGCUGCACAACUGAUUCCACUUCUGCAGCAACUGCCAUCCAUCACCAGGACUGCUCUGCCUGGGGACAGCCAGGCCACAGCCCUGCUGACGUCUGCAUGGGUCUUGGACGUGGUCUAGGGCCAGAACGCAGUGAUGAAGCUGGUGGUUUGUAGAGGCUUUUACUACAAGUAACAUCCCUCAUUUGAUGAAAUAGAUAUCUUUCUGCCAACUUGGCUCUGUCACUGAAACCUGGUGUUUUUGUCUGGUAAUUCUUCAAAUUUGAUGUUUUAAAGAAUGUUAAGUGAAUUAAUUCCUCCUUUUUGUCAGUGCUAUAAGUUCCAUACAGAGUUUGCUCAGUCUGAAGUACAUCUGUAUUAAUUAGACAAACUAAAGCAUUGGGUGGAUCUAAACGGUUCCUUUUAAUGAUUUUUCUCCACGAUGACAAGGCACACUAUACAAACAACCACCUGAUUUUAGCAAGAGGGCUAAAAAUUAUAUUGCAUAAAUGGAGUUGCAUUAUUUAAACUUAAAUUCAGGCCAGGUGCGGUGGCUCACGCCUGUAAUCCUAGC